AUGUCCCUGAUCCCGCGCGCUGCUCCGGCGGCGAGCAUGGCGUUCGCCGGACGGGACCCCGCUGUCAUCCCCCUCCUCAAGAUGCUACCGCUGCUCGGUCUCCUCGCCAUCUCCUCGGCCGCAGAGCCCCCGGCGGCGUCGUCUCCCUCCGCCGUGCACAACAACAACUGGGCCGUGCUCGUCUGUACCUCCCGCUUCUGGUUUAAUUAUAGACAUAUGGCCAACACGCUGUCUUUGUACAGGACUGUUAAGAGAUUAGGAAUACCUGACGAGAGGAUAAUACUUAUGUUGGCUGAUGAUAUGGCUUGUAAUCCUCGGAACAAUUAUCCUGCCCAAGUGUUCAACAAUGAGAACCACCAGAUUAAUCUUUAUGGUGACAAUGUUGAGGUUGAUUACCGAGGUUAUGAGGUUACAGUUGAAAACUUUUUGCGAGUUUUGACUGGAAGACAUGAGAGCGCUGUACCAAGAUCAAAGCGUCUCUUAAGUGAUGAAGGAAGCCAUAUUCUUUUGUACAUGACUGGACAUGGUGGGGAUGAAUUUUUGAAGUUCCAAGAUAACGAAGAACUUCAGAGCCAUGAUUUAGCAGAUGCAGUAAAGCAAAUGAAGAAGCAUAGAUUUAAAGAGUUGUUGAUAAUGGUAGAUACCUGCCAGGCUGCUACUCUUUUUUCACAGCUUCAAUCACCUGGUGUUUUGGCGAUUGGUAGCAGCAUGAAGGGGGAAAACUCUUACUCUCACCAUCUCGACUCAGACAUUGGUGUUUCUGUUGUGGAUAGAUUUACCUUCCAUACACUUGCUUUCUUUGAGAAGCUGAACAUGUAUAGCAAUGCUUCAUUGAACAGUCUUUUCAACUCAUACGACCCUUCUAUGCUGCUGUCUACUGCAUAUUAUCGAAUGGAUCUUUACAAGCGUGCAUUAAACGAGGUCCCAGUGACAAAUUUCUUUGGAUCAGUCAUGAAGACUAUCCACACUGAUUCAGCCUACACAGGCUUUCUAGCUGCACAUGAUGCGGAACUCCCCUUUUCUGUCGGAAAUAAUAUACUUGAUCAUGUCAUGUUGCAGAAUGAGGCUAGUGCAAGAAGAUCGAACAUAGAAGAGAUGAAUGAGGCACAAUUAACGUCCCAUGGAUGGACAGAGGUCCUGCUAGAGCAGCUGGAAGGCAAAAAUUCUGAUGUUGUUGUGAUGUAUUGUCUGGGAACUAUGGGCAUAUUGCUGGCAAUUUCAACCUGGCUAUCAAUGUAG
rnacentral:rRNA from 1 species